CAUUUGAUAAAAUCCGUGCCCUUUUCCAGAAACUUCAUCAUUUCCAUGAUUUGUGUCUCUCUUUCCUUCGUCCCUUUCGCCAGAAACUUCUGCCCACAUGAUAUUGUUGGGUUCUCUUCAUACUUUGUAUCUUCAUCUUUUAUCUUACGGUACUUUUUGUGGGUUCUGAUUUUUUGAAUUAUCCAAGUGUUUCAAUCUUGCUAAGCAAACCCACCACCAGAAAGCUAAGCAAACAAACAAAAACAAGAAGAAGAAAGGAAGCAAGCAAAAGAACCCACCAGAAAAUCGGACGAAGCAACACACAAUAGCUCGGCAGUACAAUGGAAAAGAAGCCAAAGAACAGUGAAGAGAGAGUUCAGGAAAAUACUGACAACAACAAUGAAUUGAAGGAAUAAAAUUGAUUCUACCUGGAAGCGUUGUUCACUUUGUUACUGGAUUUUUUAAGUCAAUGGAUGGCUUAAAAUUGUGAUUAACAAGAAUAAGUAAGGUUAAAAAUGAUACUCAGAAUGUGAGAAUUUUGGUGCUUUACCCUUUAUCAGCAUACAACUACUUCAGGAAAUCUCUCUGGUAAAUAAGUGAUCAAUUUCUUGCAAUAAUUUUCUUAUUGUCGGAGAAUGGUUUUUUAUUAUGUUAGUUUUGACGUAUGACUAUUUGAGAAGUUCAGUUGUGUUGGCUAGGGAAGAAAUUGCAUUCAUCCUUCGUGAAAUAUAGAUGCUUACAAACUCUAUGUUUGUGGUGCAAGAGUAAUCCAUUGGAAAACUCAACACUUCUCUUGGAGUUUUUGGAGUUUUUGAUGUUGUAACUGUAGCAGUGAAUUUGUUGAUCUCUUAUGUACAGCUGAUGUACCUUCUCGGUUCUAACCAUCAGUAAAAUACUUUACCUUAUCAUGCAUUUACUUAACAAGUUCAAAUCCCUGUCAUGGUUGACUUACAAUAGCUUGAUUGUAUUGGCAUUAAAUCUUCUAUUCCCAUGUGAAUUAAGGAUGCCUUGACAAUUCUACUUUUGAAUUUCUUGUAAAAUUUAGUUUAUAUGAAGAGCUGAAAGUGCAUUCAA